rnacentral:rRNA from 2 species
AGCGGCGGACGGGUGAGUAAUACUUAGGAAUCUACCUAGUAGUGGGGGAUAGCUCGGGGAAACUCGAAUUAAUACCGCAUACGACCUACGGGAGAAAGGGGGCAACUUGUUGCUCUCGCUAUUAGAUGAGCCUAAGUCGGAUUAGCUAGAUGGUGGGGUAAAGGCCUACCAUGGCGACGAUCUGUAGCUGGUCUGAGAGGAUGAUCAGCCACACCGGGACUGAGACACGGCCCGGACUCCUACGGGAGGCAGCAGUGGGGAAUAUUGGACAAUGGGGGAAACCCUGAUCCAGCCAUGCCGCGUGUGUGAAGAAGGCCUUUUGGUUGUAAAGCACUUUAAGCAGUGAAGAAGACUCUUCGGUUAAUACCCGGAGACGAUGACAUUAGCUGCAGAAUAAGCACCGGCUAACUCUGUGCCAGCAGCCGCGGUAAUACAGAGGGUGCAAGCGUUAAUCGGAAUUACUGGGCGUAAAGCGAGCGUAGGUGGCUUGAUAAGUCAGAUGUGAAAUCCCCGGGCUUAACCUGGGAACUGCAUCUGAUACUGUCAGGCUAGAGUAGGUGAGAGGAAGGUAGAAUUCCAGGUGUAGCGGUGAAAUGCGUAGAGAUCUGGAGGAAUACCGAUGGCGAAGCAGCCUUCUGGCAUCAUACUGACACUGAGGCUCGAAAGCGUGGGUAGCAAACAGGAUUAGAUACCCUGGUAGUCCACGCCGUAAACGAUGUCUACUAGUCGUUGG